AGUCAAUUUCUGCCCAUUGAAAAAAUUUAAAAGGCUGCGGUAUUUUAACUGUACAAAGGUAGCAAAAUAAAUAGUUUUUUAAUUGAAAACUUGAAUGAAAGAGUUAAUAAAAUAUAAAUUGUCUCAAAUUAAUAAAAAAUUAAUUUAAAUUAAAAGUAAAAAUACUUUUAUAUUUUUAUUAGACGAUAAGACCCUAAGAAUUUGAUUAUUUAUAUUUUUAUUUAAUUUUUAUAAUAAAUAGAUGAAAAUAUAAAUUAUUUUAUUGGGAGGGUAAAUAAAUUUUUAAACUUUAGUUUUAAUAAAAUAUUUUUAGAUAAAUUUUUAAUGAUUAUUAUUAAGAUUAUAAGAAUAAAUUACCUUAGGGAUAACAGCGUAAUAAUUUUGGAGAGUUCAUAUUGAUAAAAUUGUUUACGACCUCGAUGUUGAAUUAAAAUAAAAAUUAAAUGGAGAAAUUUAAAAUUUUAGUCUGUUCGACUAUUAAAAUUUUAC
rnacentral:rRNA from 1 species